AAAAUGAAAAUGGAAAGAAUAAAGUGCAUAAGGUGAAAUAAAAUGUACCAAUCCAUGUGUGUUGACCAAAUGACAUUUGAAGUCAAAGUCAAACCAUGAGAAACCAGAAAUGGGAUGAAGAUUGGAGGUCAAAUAAUAAGCAAAAUAUUUUUGGCAUUUUUAAUAUUAAAAUAAACUUGAAUUAAAAAUAAAAGAAAGGUCAAACUUCAAAAUCACUUCAAAUCAACCUUGAAAGGUCCAAGUGAUUU
rnacentral:lncRNA from 1 species